GCAUAUCAAUAAGCGGAGGAAAAGAAACUAACAAGGAUUCCCCUAGUAACGGCGAGUGAAGCGGGAAGAGCUCAAAUUUAAAAUCUGGCAGUGUAUUCUGUCCGAGUUGUAGUCUAGAGAAGCAUCAUCCGUGCUGGACCGUGUACAAGUCUCCUG
rnacentral:rRNA from 1 species